CCCAUGGCAGGGGGGUUGGAGCUAGAUGAUCUUAAGGUCCUUUCCAACCCUUACGAUUCUAUGAUUCUAUGUAAGAGCGAUCAUUUCUUACCGGCAGGCUGUAUAACCCAGAUAGGUACAUCUGCUUAACAUAACAUGUCAGCAUAACUUUGAUGCCAUUAGAAGGCUAUAGCAGGUGCAGUGCUGCCAAACCUGAGGGAUGUUAACACUUCUGACAAGAUUAACAUCUUGGGGAAAUCAGAAUCCCUGCAUUGAUCAGCAGGUUGAUAGGAAAGCUGCCAUAGCGAUGGGGACGAUAUAUUAUUUUCAUCUAUCAAUCAUCUCUCUGGGCUUGACUGGGAGACGUUGAGGCUGCAAAGGCACUUAGUUGGUGCUUUAAGGCAGGAUGUUCAGCACAUCCUUAAAAUGUAAUUGGAUUGUGCUUUGUCCUUUGAACUCUUGCACAUCCCAUUGUAUAUCUCAUUUCAAUUCUGCUUUGCUUCCAGCAGGUUUUAUAAAGGUGUAUUGGAUUGCUUUUGGGGGAGUGGCAAGGUGCUGGGGUUUUGUUUGGGUUUUUUGUUGGGCUUUUUUUGUUUUGUUUUGUUUUGUUUUAGUUUCUCUUUGAAGCUGUAGCUAUUGAGGCUGGAAGUAGGACUCCCAGGCUUCAGCUCCUUCUUGGUCCAUAGGAGUAACCUACCAGGAUGGAAAAGGGUUUUCUUGGAAGCUGAUAAGGGUCAACUGAGUAUGACAGUUCUGUCAGAAUAAAAAAGCCAUUAAUUAACACUUGUCAUCUGUGAUAGUCACAGGUAAUUCCCACAAUGGCAGGUCUUUGCAUUUGUCAAAUAGAUUGCCGUUAUUCUUUUGACAACUGGACCAUGAAAUCUAAUUUUGCCAGGUAUUGCUGUUUACACCAGGUUUUGAAAUGCAUCAAAAUGAACAGGGAAAGUGUCUGCAAAGCACCACGAGCACACAAGUGCUCCUCUCAGGACAAGGAGCUUUGCUCUGACAAACAGCAAGUAAUUAAUUACAAACAGCAAAUUGGUCUCGCAGGACAAAUUUUGAGGUCAUAAUCAAAAAAACCCCUUAAACUACUUAUUGAUGGUUAGCUGCAAUGAGGUAACAAGUAAGUGAAUGCUUUAAAGACAACAGAAAACAAUUCUUGGCUUUCAUUCUGUAAAAUAUUUAUGGUUAAUGAAAUUGAUGACUAGACACUGAGCAAUCUUUCAUAUACAAGUAGUAGAAGUCACUGUCUUAAAGUAACUGCUGCUUUGUUCUUAAAUGUGAGCAGCCUAGGAAGUUUUGUUCAGGUAUGGCAUUAGAAGUGUCAGAAGUAGUAAUUCAAGAAAAAUACUUUCCGUUUGCAAGAAGAUCAGAAUUAUCUAUAUAAACUCACAUAUGUAGCAUGUGCUUUCCUUAGAUACUGCAAAACACAAAUGUCCCAACAAUUACUGAGAAAAUUUGCACCCCAUUGAAUUUGAGGAAAUUUCUAUUCUUGGUUUCAGUGGGGCAAGUGUUUCUUCUCUGGAGUAAAUACGUGUGUUAGAGACGGGUGAGCUUCAGGACAUUGUAGAGUAAACUACUCAUGUUGGCACUGUCUUCCCAAGACUUAAUUGUCCUUUUUGCUUUGUACGCACUGCGCUGAUAUUUUUCCCUGAGAUAACUUGGGCAGGCAUGUAUUUUGGAAUGCCUCCAAUUCUUGUUUCAACCCAUAAUGUGCAACUGAGCACAUGCUUUUGAAUGUCUUAAAAACCAAGCAUAGCACGAAGGCUGAAAUGAUGCAUGACCAUGAUAGAGCAGGGAGCUUGAAAUGGCCCAGGCAGGAGCUUCUUUGUACCAGUGAUGUAGCUGACCUGUACAGUUUCGUGUUUCAGGACUCGUGGUGUAAGCAAUUGACACUAAUAAUACUGGGAUUUUAUGUGAUCUUCCUGCAAACAGAGUUAAUAUUGACUCUAAAGGGAGAGAUCUUCACCUAAUUUACAACAGAUCUCUCCUGAGAAUUUUUCUGAAGGAAGAGAGCAUAGGGAUUCAGGUUAACUAUCCAGAGGGGAAUGAAAAUGGCACAGUGGGAUGAAAAAGUUUUCUUCAAAUAUAAUUAUAAAGUGUCUUUCUGCUACAUGACUUUCCAGUAACUCCCUAUUGUCCUUCGUCAUCCAUUUCUCAGUGUGUAUAUCUCUAUUGGUACCUUGCAGACUGGUGCUCUGAUUCCACAUGAUGCCUCUGACAAAAUGAUGAUAUAAAGAUGAGACUGAAAAACAGACACUAUGAGAGAUUGUCAUUCAGAUCUGGAAUGUCACUAUUCUGAAAGAAAGGAACCUAAUGGGUGAAGACAAAUAUGCAGCUACAUCAAAAAAAGUGUUUUGACCUCUUCAUGAGUUUCAUCCUGUUUCUUCAUCCUGUUUAAAGCCUCUGUCACGCAAGGGGAUUGACCUGGCUCUGGGGAGUAUCUGCACACCUGUGAAAACCUCUUUACCUCUUUCGUUGUGUCUUUGGAAGAAAAGAAUGGAGGAGAGGAGUGGGUGAGCAAGAAGCUUUGACUGAAAACAAAGGCAAGGUCAGAGUUUGGCUCGACUGUGUGGGCUCCCAGCAGAGCAGGAGAUAGCCGAUGUGAAAGCCUGGUCUGUGCUGUGCAGGGGUAUGGAGGAUGCCUGAAAGGGAAGUUCUAACAGGAAAAAAGAAAGCUGGAAGGACCCAGAGGUUUAAGGCAUAACCCUUUGGAAACACGAGGUCAGCUGUAACAUUGCUGGUUUUGGACAAUUUUUGAAUGAAAAUAUGAGGGAGGCUGUGAAUCCUUUGCUUUCCCUGAGGCUGGUGAAGGUGCUAAAAAAUGUUCUGUUGAUGCAUAUCCUGUAUUCUGAGCAUGGCAGCCUGGUGUUGUGCUCCAGCCCUUUUCAAAACCUAUUAGAGGAAAUCUGGUUUUAUUGGCUUCAACAGCAUGUGAGCUGCACACAGGGCUAUGCUGAGCAGUCCAGCUUACUGAAGUUCACAUCCUUGAACUGGUGGAACCCUUGUGCAGCUGUCUGGUGAGGGGGGCAUGUACAGUUCUCAGCUAAAUCUGUACUAAAGGCUGCUCAAGAAGAAUUUAUCUGGCAACAGAUUUACUUAAAUGCCAUCACCUGGACCCUCAUCUCUACAUGCAGUUGGGGGAAACCUCAGGGAACUUUUCUAGCUGUUCUUACGCUUCUAGGGUGGUGAUGGUGUUCAUUGUGCUGUGCUCCCCAAGGGACUGCAGUAAUGCAGUGAACAAGUUCCUUGUGCUGAAGAAAGCAUCACCUACUGCUCACCCCAGGCUGAGUUGGCAGAAAUAUGAACAAAAUAAUAAAGAAAAUGAGCAUUGUGGAAUUGAACAGAAAAAUAUUCUAUGAUUCUCCAAGGGUGGAAAAGUAGACUUCAGAUUAUUUCCUCAAUUUAUUUAGAGGACGACAAAUGAAACCUACCAUAGAACAUUGGCUACCAACUGUUUUCUUGGAUAUCUUCAGGAAAAAAUGGAGCAAAGGUCCCUAUCAAUAGCAGACCAGUUUUACAUACUGGCUGUACAGCCCAGGAAAUUACCUGUCAAGAGGGAAUAAGAUCACAACAAAUGAUGCAGCCCGCAAGCACAAAGUGCUCAUAGGAGAGGAAGCAAAAGGUGCUCCAAAGAUGUCCACACAGACAAAGCAUCUCCUUGUCUCCCUUUGCCUUGAGAUGAAUUAAAGAAAGAUAUCUUGUAAUGACAAAUUCAAUUGUGAAGUGACCGCUGCCAACUGGACAUAAGUAAGCAAGUGGAGUAACUUGGUUUGUUAUAUUUAUGGACUAGAGAACUUCCACUGGAAGAUAUCCAAAUAGGUGCCUGCAAACUAAGGAAUGUUGAAAAAUAGCCAAAGGGCUCCAUUUUUUUUCCUGAACUUGUGACUGACAAGGAGAAGUAAUAUAAUCUCAGAAGCUGUAAAACAUUACUUGUUGGUUCAAGAAGUUGUUCCCAAUACACCCCAUAGAAGACAGCACAGCUAGCUUGCCAGCCUUUUUACUCAUCUUCCCUGCCUCCAAACGAUGUGGAAUAAUUUUAAUAAAACUCAGCGUGAAAUAGAUUGGCUUUCAGCAAACAUGCAUUGCGGCCUGAGACAUCAGUGGAGAAUUUCUUUAUCCAAGGAUAUUGAUUCUUCUAUUAGUUUGACAUUAAAAUGAAAAUUAAUGCUUUCUUUUUAUAAAUAAGAUAAAGAAAUUUAGUCUAUGCCUACAUUGACAGGUCUUUACGGACACAGGAUGCUAACUUGUUGAUGGUUAAGGAUGUAACUAUAACUGAACUUAUUUGCUUUCCCCAGUAAGUUGAAUGUAACUGUAUACUGGUAGUGUCAUUUAUGCAAAAGACUGAGGAGCUGAGGAUCACAGGCUGGAAUGGAGGCAGAAGCACGGAAAUGAAAGCGCUGACAACCUCCUUCAGUGAUGAACGCUCCUCACAGCCUUUGGUGAGCAAGAAUUGCUCAGGCCACUUAGUGCAGCUCCAAACCAUGGCACUUAUCUCUAUACCUUCCCUUGCUUUUAUGAAUUUGGUCCUUGAGUACCAUGUAGCCUAAGGACCUGCUUUUCUCUGACUGACCGUGCUGUGCUCCCUGCUCCUCUGCAGGGCCUGUUAGCAGUUAAUGAGGUGGCUGUUUGCAGCUUCUCCUCAUGGAUGAAGAGCCUUAUUUCUCUCUCUGAAUAAAUUCCUCACAGUGACUCUGUACUGUGGGGGAAGACCAUGGGACUAAUAGCCAUCAUCUACCAGCUGAACACCUGGGCAAAAAAUGAGCAGGUAAAAUUUCAGAUCAACUGAAUGAGCUCCAAAAUCAUCUAGGCCUUCUCCUUCCUCUCAUCUCACACGUUAAACCCAAACUACUAAAGCCUGGGUUUGCACUCCAGUGUCAGUGCAGAUGCUCAUCUUCAGUAAGUGGGGGUGCAUUGAAGAUGGAGAUAGCAUGCCAUCACCAAGGCCUCUUGCUCAGCUGUGGCCCUUCAUGGCAAUAGGAAGAAAGGAAGAAUUUUAUGAUUAAAUAUGUUGCUAAACUCUUCUUCAGGCUGUAUUUCAAGUUUGUAGGUCUCAUUUAAACAACUGCAAUUUGUUACUGUGACUACUUUGCCACUAAAUGUGCAGAAUUAAAGCUUCCCUUAGGUUAUCCUGCAUGGUGCCUUCCUACCCACUUACAGAAGAAAAAGAAAGGAAGCUUUUCUAAGAUGUAAACUUGUUAAAUGUAAUAGCUGCAUAGUUUCAUACCCGCUGAAAAUGAUCUCACAUCAUAGGACAAUACAUUCAAAACGACACCUAAUCUUCAGUUACUCAUCCAUGCCUGUGAAAUUCAACGGCUGUGUGCUGAGAGAUCCCAUUACAAGUGAUGUGAGUAUGACUUUGGCUGGCCUGCUUAUUUCUGCUGUUUCUCUGUUAUGUCACUGUGACACUUUCCAAGUGGCUCUAAGGCUGCAGGACAGAACGAAGUAUUCUCUGUAUGAGGCAAUUUCAGUCAACAGUUAAUAAGUCUUUUACUGUCUUUGCAUACUGAGGUGCCCACAUCUUCUCAAGUAUCAGUGAGUUCCAUUAAAGGUUCUUAUAUCCCACCAUCCAUCAACAAGGGCUGUGGAAAAUGUAGUUAUUUUUUUAUAUCUUGUUUGAAUGUUUGGUCAUCAUUCAUAGCUGUUUACAUGUCAAAUACAUCUGAAGUCCCCAAACUAUCAAAUAAGCACAUGUAGUCAAAAUAUCUUUCAAAAUAUGAAAUAUGCUACUAAGAUACCUCUAGAUUAUGUCAACAAAUAUAGGACAGAGGAUAACUCUUCCUAUAUAGUAAAUGUACUAUAUAAGCAAACAUGAAAAACUUUGAAACACAAGGUAUUUGAAAUCGCAUUUGAUAGAGAUGCUUCUCACUAAAGCAAUUUCUCUCAAAGAAAUGUGGAUCUAAUUUGCCAGCAGUGAUUUGAAAGAAGAAGUAUAUGUAUUGAUUUUUUUUCCACACAGGAUGGAUUUUACUCCAGAGCAGGGAAUGGGGAGAGAGGACAAAAGUACUCAGUUCUUCUCCCAUGCUAUUAUUUCAUCAAAGGCUUCCUGUAAGCAGGGAUGUUCCCCUCCAUAGAUGCCAUAACUCCAUACAUCACCAAAUGGUUUAUUUUUAAAGCUUUUAUAAUAUUGUGUGUCAAUAACUAUGUCCUAAUAAACCCUGACUGUAGCCAAAGGCUUCUGUUAUAUCCAAUCAGUUAGCUUCAUUGCAGACUAAUUUUUGAUAUUAAAGGUAGAGUUUUUAAAAUGAGCUGGUAAGGAAAAAACA